rnacentral:rRNA from 1 species
CACGUAGGGCGCAAGCGUUGUCCGGAAUUAUUGGGCGUAAAGAGCUCGUAGGCGGCCUGUUGCGUCCGCUGUGAAAGCCCGGGGCUUAACCCCGGGUCGGCAGUGGAUACGGGCAGGCUAGAGGUAGAUAGGGGAGAAUGGAAUUCCCGGUGUAGCGGUGAAAUGCGCAGAUAUCGGGAGGAACACCGGUGGCGAAGGCGGUUCUCUGGGCCUUACCUGACGCUGAGGAGCGAAAGCGUGGGGAGCGAACAGG